UACGGGGGGGGCAAGCGUUGUUCGGAAUUACUGGGCGUAAAGGGCUCGUAGGCGGCCAACUAAGUCGGACGUGAAAUCCCCAGGCUCAACCUGGGAACUGCGUCCGAUACUGGAUGGCUUGAAUCCGGGAGAGGGAUGCAGAAUUCCAGGUGUAGCGGUGAAAUGCAUAGAUAUCGAGAGGAACACCUGCGGCGAAGGCGGGUUGCUGGGCCGACACUGACGCUGAUGCGCGAAAGCCAGGGGAGCGAACGGG
rnacentral:rRNA from 1 species